rnacentral:rRNA from 1 species
AGUGAACGCUGGCGGUAGGCCUAACACAUGCAAGUCGAACGGCAGCACAGUAAGAGCUUGCUCUUACGGGUGGCGAGUGCGGACGGGUGAGGAAUACAUCGGAAUCUACUUUUUCGUGGGGGAUAACGUAGGGAAACUUACGCUAAUACCCCAUACGACCUACGGGUGAAAGCCGGGGAUCUUCGGACCUUGCGCGAUUGAAUGAGCCGAUGUCGGAUUAGCUAGUUGGCGGGGUAAAGGCCCACCAAGGCGACGAUCCGUAGCUGGUCUGAGAGGAUGAUCAGCCACACUGGAACUGAGACACGGUCCAGACUCCUACGGGAGGCAGCAGUGGGGAAUAUUGGACAAUGGGCGCAAGCCUGAUCCAGCCAUACCGCGUGGGUGAAGAAGGCCUUCGGGUUGUAAAGCCCUUUUGUUGGGAAAGAAAAGCAGCAGGUUAAUACCCCGCUGUUCUGACGGUACCCAAAGAAUAAGCACCGGCUAACUUCGUG